rnacentral:rRNA from 1 species
CGCCGCGGUUAUACGUGUAGGCUCAAGAUGACAAACGUCGGCGUAAAGUGUGAUUAGAGGUGAAGAUAAACUAAAGCUGAACUAGCCCUAGACUGUUAUACGUUGAUGGAGCAAAUGAAACCCCCCAACGAAAGUAGCUUUAACCCUAUUGCUCGAACUCACGAACGUUGAGAAA